UUUGCACCUGCUUGGUGGACAUUUGACCUUGUGGAAGCGCCAACCUCGAUGUUUGCGACGAUGCUUUGCCUUCUCCCCCAAGAACCCAACGAAACGAAGUACACAGUCCUUUCUGCUUGCUAGCCUGAGUCGAAGAAUGUCAUUUUCACCAACAAUUAUGCGUUUUUAAGAUUGAUUUCCUUCUGAGUUUGUGCGAUUUGUGAAUCUAAAUCACCAAAGCAGCAAUGUCAAAACCUUCCCCAAGAAUCAUCCAUGGACUCCUCGGACUUCACUAUCGCCAACAUGUCUCCAAUUCAAAACCCUCAUCUCCAAGCACUUCUUCUAUCGCCUGCAAAAUUGGCAGCUCACUUGCAAGACCUUACUCAAAUGGGUUCUCCAACUCCACUCUUUUAAACUCUCAAAUCCACUCCAGCCCAUCUUUUUGUUCAAAUUCGACUUCUUCAAAUGGGGGUUUAUCUCAGGUUCUCUCGUGGGCAAAACCCAACUUCUCUUCUUCAUUGAGGACUUACCACCCGUUUGCUAAACAGAGUUGUUCCUACGGGAUGAGGCAGUUUUCUUUCAAAUCUUCUUCGAAUUUUGGCAAAACUUUCAAUGGGAAUUUUGCAAAAAAGGUGUUCGAGAAGCCUGCUGCGGCAGUUUCCUCUACUUUUUCGGGGUACCGUGAUGCUUUAGGGUUGCAAAUUGAUGCCUUCUGGAAGAGGAAUUUUCUCUUCCUGCUCGGUGCCGGAGGAGUUGUAUUGUGUGCUUUGCUUUGGAGGGUUAUGUUUGGUAUUGCAAAUACUUUCGUUGGCCUUUCUGAAGGCAUGGCCAAAUAUGGGUUCCUUGCCCUUUCUUCAGCCAUAGUUGCCUUUGCAGGCCUGUAUAUCCGCUCUAGAAUCACAAUCAAUCCUGAUAGAGUUUAUAGAAUGGCUAUGAGGAAGCUUAAUACUUCUGCUGGAAUUCUUGAGGUUAUGGGUGCUCCACUCGCAGGAACAGAACUUAGAGCUUAUGUGAUGUCUGGAGGUGGGAUUACACUGAAGAACUUCAAGCCAAGGCUUAGGAGCAAGAGGUGUUUUCUCAUCUUCCCAAUACGAGGGUCGGAGAGGAAGGGUCUAGUCAGUGUUGAAGUUAAGAAGAAAAAAGGCCAGGUUGCUUCUAUUCAUCCUGUACUCUAUUUGUUUUUUCAUGUGAUGAAGCGAUAUAAGUUUUCAUUUGGAGUAAGUCCUGUGUCUUAGGUUGGUUUUUGUUGUUUUGCCUCAAUGUACUCAUAAGAAUCUAGGUGACUAUUUUUUGAUGAUUUUCUAAAUUAAUACCCUGCUAUGAAUGAUGAAGAAGAGUAUGUGUCAGGAUCAGGAAUGAGUUCUUGGUUUUUUUGAUGAAAUGUUUACAAAUUCGUUUUCUUUAUUUUUCAUUUUUUUUAAAACACUUGUUCUUGAAAUAUAUUGAAGUGAUUGAGGUCAUGAAUAUGAUUCUUCCAAUCAAAUGCCACUCUUGUUAAACCAUAAAUUAUGUGGCUCUUAUAUGUAGCAAAUUGACUGUAGACUCUUUUCUCAUGAUGUGGCUUUCAUUUUGUUGUGGAUGAGCAUUGUUGAGAUUUGACUUCAGUUGUUGCCCCAAAAAUAUUUCCUGCAUUUACUUGUGUUUGGCAUAUUGAGGAAAAUUGAUUAAUGGAGUCCGUAUUUCUAGUCAAGUCAAAACUUUGCCAUUUUCAAUGAAAAUAGCUUCCAUUUAAAAAUGGGAAUUCUUGUUUCAAAGGAAAUUGCGUUAAUUAUAUUUUAGUCUCUGUGUCUCCAUUAUUGAAGAUUGUUUUUCUUGCAUAUGGGAUGGGCACAAUUUUGCCAAACUGCUUUAAAGUUCUGGUUCUCUAUUUAAUUUGUUCUUGUUGUUAUUUUAUUAAUUUUUUAGGGUUUGCACAACACAAUACCUACAUGGUAUUGUUGUAACAUUAGCAAGUAGAAUCCUGACACCUCAUGAAAUUAUGGCAAGCCAAUGUGCAGUAGUGGAGAAUAAUUGAUGGUCAUUCACAUCAUCCUCUUCUGCAGAAUAGAGAUAAAAAAAAAAAAAAAAUUGCUCAGCAGCAUAAGCUACAAAAAUGGCUGCUAAGCUUGUUCCUUUCCCCACCCUCCUCCUCCUCCUUCUUCUACUCUUUGAACUUGGCUCUGGAGUUCAUCAACCGGCUUUGCCUAAAGAAGAAGAGGCUUUUCUCUCAGACUUCUUCGGCGAAUCUGGCGAUUAUUGCAACGAUAGGAAUCUUUGGAGUGCCGGCGUAGACGUGAAUUGCGAUUGUACCUAUAAGAAUAACACCGUUUGCCACGUCACGAAGUUAUGUAUGCGUUACACGAGGAAGUUCGACCUACAAGGCAACUGGGAGGAUCUGUCGGCUUUGAAAUACAUAGAUUUUUCAUGGAAUAAGUUGACUGGAUCCAUCCCAGAUAAUCUAGGGAAACUGCCAUCUUUGAAACAACUGGAUUUGAACCAUAACUAUCUAACAGGCUCUAUCCCUUCAUCUUUGGGAAAUUUGUCAUCUCUCGAAUGGUUGCGCUUGGGUUUCAAUUCAUUAUCAGGUCCAAUUCCUCGGGCAUUGGGCAAUCUCUCCAAUCUCAGGACCAUGUACUUAUCACAGAAUAAUCUUAGCGGCAAUCUUCCACCAGAACUUGGAAGCUUGAGCAGGCUUCAAUAUCUUUCCGUGGGAUCCAACAGGUUAAUUGGAGAGUUGCCGAAAGAAUAUGCCAACCUUACAUCUUUGGUGUUGUUUACAAUAGGUGGAAACAGUUUCACUGGCAGAAUACCCAACUUCUUUGCAAAAUGGACGAGUCUCUCUUACUUGGAACUUGCUGGAAAUGAUUUUGAGGGUGACCUGCCUUUGGAAAUAUUUAAUUUAUCAAAUCUUUGGCGUUUGACUAUUAGUGAUCUAAGAAAUUCUAGUGUCUCUUUUCCUAAUCGUGCAAAUAUCACACAAAUGGAGUAUCUGUCAUUGAGGAAUUGCUCAAUAAGUGGUCAAAUUCCUCCGUCCAUUUUUUAUUUUCCUUCAUUAAAGUACCUUGAUUUGAGCUUCAACAAUUUAAUUGGUGGCCUCCCAGAUACUAUCAGGAGCAAAAAUUUACAUAUGAUGUUUCUCACGAGAAAUAUGCUUAGUGGGUCGAUUCCUUCCUGGAUUUCCAGCUUCGACGAAGCGGAUUUAUCAUAUAACAAUUUUACAAAUUCAUCGUCCAACAUCACAAAGACAAAGUUAGAUGGGCUUAAGAUAAAUGUCGAGCCAAACAGGAGAACUAUACUUGAUUUGAAAGAUAAGCAUUGUCAAGGAAAAGAGUAUAAUAAUCUAUUUAUAAAUUGCGGCGGCGAGAAAAUUCGUGUUGAGGGGAUUGAUUACGAUGGAGAUAAUGCAAGAUCGAAUUUUAAUGUAGAUCAUGAUGGAAAAUGGGCUUACGCUUGUUCAGGAGGAUUCUUGGACUAUCUUUCGAACUAUGUCAAUAGAAGUGAUUACAUAAGAGAAACUACAAACGGAAGCUCAAUAUUUGAAAAUGACGGAAUGUUGUACAAAACAGCUCGCCUUUGUCCAGUGUCACUCUCUUACCAUGGCUUCUGUAUGAGGAAAGGCAACUACACAGUCAAACUUCACUUUAUUGAAAAUACUUUUGCCAUGGAUGAUGAUGACUACAGCAAAUUAAAGGAACGUAUUUUUGAUGUUUAUAUUCAGGGGGAGAGAAGAUUAAAGGAUUUCAACAUAAAAUAUGAGGCAAAUGGUCCAAACAGAAUUGUCACCAAGGUUCAGCCUGUUGAAAUACAAGAUAAUAUCUUGGAGAUUCAUCUCUUUUGGGCUGGCAAAGGAUCUCAAAUCGACUUAAAUGGACCUCUCAUAUCAGCCAUCGCGGUAACACCAAACUUCAAACACGGAGAGAAACUCUCUCCUCCACAAAUAGCAGGGAUUGCAGUAGGUGCUGUACUGACUCCAUUGCUUGUAUUGACAUUCAUGUGGCAAAUGGGCUGGUUGGAAAGCAAAGAGCUGCAAAAAAUCCACAUAGAGGUCCAAGGCAAAUCUGUCACCCUCCAACAAAUAAUAGAUGCUACUAGAAAUUUUAGCUCCAAAAAGGAGAUUGGGAAGGGGCGUUAUGGGAUAGUAUACAAGGCUGAACUGCCUGAUGAAAUUAAAUUAGCAGUGAAGAAGAUUUCUCCUGACAUAAAUCAGCAAGAGAAGAAUGAAUUAAAAAGCGAAAUUUUCAGCCUGAAAUCUUUGAGGCAUGAGAAUGUGGUUCAGUUGUUGGAUGGCUAUUGUGAUAAGAAAGGCCUUUAUCUGCUAAUAUAUGAGUAUAUGGAUAAUGGCUCCCUACAUCAGGCCUUGUUCGGUAAGAAAGCAUAGCAUAUAAAAUUUGUCUUUAAUUAAGUUGCAAAAAUGAGUAUAAAUACUUCCUUGAUGAAUUUGUAGAUCCAAAUUCAAGAACCAUUCUUGAUUGGAAAGUGAGAUAUGAUAUAUGCUUGGGGAUAGCAAAAGGUUUGAAGUAUCUGCAUGAAGAAAAAAGAUUUGAUAUCGUCCAUGGAAACAUAAAAGCUGCAAAUAUUCUGCUUGACAAAUCUUACACUGCUAAGUUAUCGGACUUCGGAUUAGCAAGGCUUUGCCGUGAGGAAGAUCCAUUCAUGUCUAUCAUCAAAGCAAGAGCAGCAAGAGUAUAUAUGGCACCUGAGUAUGCAAGAGGAGAGGUCAUCACCGUUAAAGCAGAUGUCUACAGCUUUGGAGUUGUUCUACUGGAAAUUGUCAGUGGGAAAAUCAGUGCAGAUCAUACGCGAAAUGGGGAAAUUGAUUUCCUCCUUGACAGGGCUUGGGUUUUGCACACCAAGAAAAGGAUUCUGGAUUUGGUUGAUAAGAAGUUAUCCAAUUAUGAUAGAAAGCAAGCUAUCACUGCGCUAAAUUUAGCAAUCACGUGCAUCAAUCACUCCGCUACUCUCAGGCCUACAAUGUCUGAAGUAGUAAGUGUACUUGAAGGGGAGAAAACGAUUGAUCAGAUAUCCAAAGUCCAAAUUUCCUGAGGGGAUUCCGGAGCUUUCUUUUUGUACGUUUUCAAUAUGCUUUUCUUUCCUUGUUUUUCGCAUAUAUUGCUGUGUGAUUAUGUAUAAUUAUAUGCUAUUAGCAGAACUUGCAUAAUGUUAAUAGACGGUUCUAAAACAUAUGGGUCAGCGGACCCGUUUGCCUUAGCCACCUAUAGUUUUCGAUCUUUGAAUGUUGGUUUCUGAGAUGGUUUGGGACUCUGAAUCUAUCCCCUUGUUGUUGUCUCCUUUCCCUGUACUGCAAUGUUUUGUAUAUUAAUGAAUAUCUAUAUUUGACGGGGAAAA
rnacentral:misc_RNA from 1 species